CGUAGGAGGCGAGCGUUAUCCGGAUUUACUGGGCGUAAAGCGCGUGUAGGCGGUUCGGUAAGUUGGAUGUGAAAUCUCCUGGCUCAACUGGGAGAGGUCGUUCAAUACUGCCAGACUAGAGGACGGUAGAGGAAGGUAGAAUUCCCGGUGUAGUGGUGAAAUGCGUAGAUAUCGGGAGGAAUACCAGUGGCGAAGGCGGCCUUCUGGGCCGUUCCUGACGCUCAGACGCGAAAGCGUGGGUAGCGAACGGGAUUAGAAACCCCGGUAGUCCACGCUGUAAACGAUGCGGACUUGGUGUUGGUGGCGUAAAAACCAUCAGUGCCGAAGCUAACGCGUUAAGUCCGCCGCCUGGGGACUACGGUCGCAAGAUUA
rnacentral:rRNA from 1 species